AGUACAUUCGAAUGAGAUACAACGCUUUUAUUUCGCUGACGGCAUGUGCAAUCUACAUCAUUUUAACGCAAAGCGUCGGCGCUGCCCUCAUCUUCUCAGCUGCACUGACAUCAUCGACGAUAUUUGGGAUACCUGUCACAACAGCCAGCAUCCUCUUCGGCCUAAUGGGCACCUACUAUGGCG